rnacentral:rRNA from 1 species
CAGCCGCCGCGGGAAUACGGAGGGGGCUAGCGUUGUUCGGAAUUACUGGGCGUAAAGCGUGCGUAGGCGGCUUUGUAAGUUAGAGGUGAAAGCCCAGGGCUCAACCCUGGAAUUGCCUUUAAGACUGCAUCGCUUGAACGUCGGAGAGGUGAGUGGAAUUCCGAGUGUAGAGGUGAAAUUCGUAGAUAUUCGGAAGAACACCAGUGGCGAAGGCGACUCACUGGACGACUGUUGACGCUGAGGCACGAAAGCGUGGGGAGCAAACAGGAUUAGAUACCCCGGUAGUCCCUGUCUCUUAUAC